UGUGGGAGCGGGCUUGCUCGCGAAAGCGGUGAGUCAGUCAGUACAUCUUCAACUGAUAGACUGCUUUCGCGAGCAAGCCCGCUCCCACA
rnacentral:antisense_RNA from 1 species